ACACUGCAUUUUUCAGCAUUGAAUGUCAUCUGCCAUUUUUUUGCCCAGUCACCCAGUUUUGUGAGAUCCCUUUGUAACUCUUUGCAGUCAGUUCUGGAUUUAUUUACCUGGAGUAAUUUUGUAUAAUCUUCAAAUUUUGCCACCUCACUGUUUACCCCUUUUUCUAGUUGAUAUAUGAAAAUGGUGAGCUGCAUCAU